UACGUAGGGACCGAGCGUUGUCCGGAAUCAUUGGGCGUAAAGAGCGUGUAGGCGGUUUGGUAGGUCCGCUGUGAAAACUCGAGGCUCAACCUCGAGACGCCGGUGGAAACCAUCAGGCUAGAGUCCGGAAGAGGAGAGUGGAAUUCCUGGUGUAGCGGUGAAAUGCGCAGAUAUCAGGAAGAACACCCGUGGCUAAGGCGGCUCUCUAGUACGGUACUGACGCUGCGACGCGAAAGCGUGGGGAGCGAACAGG
rnacentral:rRNA from 1 species